rnacentral:rRNA from 1 species
GUGGGGAAUUUUGGACAAUGGGCGAAAGCCUGAUCCAGCCAUGCCGCGUGAGUGAAGAAGGCCUUCGGGUUGUAAAGCUCUUUCGGUGGGGAAGAAAUUGCAUGGGCUAAUACCCUGUGUAGAUGACGGUACCUGGAGAAGAAGCACCGGCUAACUACGUGCCAGCAGCCGCGGUAAUACGUAGGGUGCGAGCGUUAAUCGGAAUUACUGGGCGUAAAGCGUGCGCAGGCGGUUUGGUAAGUCAGAUGUGAAAUCCCCGGGCUCAACCUGGGAACUGCAUUUGAGACUGCCAAGCUGGAGUUUGGCAGAGGGGGGUGGAAUUCCACGUGUAGCAGUGAAAUGCGUAGAGAUGUGGAGGAACACCGAUGGCGAAGGCAGCCCCCUGGGCCAAUACUGACGCUCAUGCACGAAAGCGUGGGGAGCAAACAGGAUUAGAAACCCGGGUAGUCC